UAACAUCAGGGAGAUAGAGAGAGAGUACCAUCAGGGAGGUGAGUGUCUGCCGUCAGGGAGAUAGAGAGAGAGUAACAUCAGGGAGAUAGAGAGAGAGUAACAUCAGGGAGGUGAGUGUCUGCCAUCAG